UAGGGAAUCUUCGGCAAUGGACGAAAGUCUGACCGAGCAACGCCGCGUGAGUGAAGAAGGUUUUCGGAUCGUAAAACUCUGUUGUUAGAGAAGAACAAGGACGUUAGUAACUGAACGUCCCCUGACGGUAUCUAACCAGAAAGCCACGGCUAACUACGUGCCAGCAGCCGCGGUAAUACGUAGGUGGCAAGCGUUGUCCGGAUUGAUUGGGCGUAAAGCGAGCGCAGGCGGUUUCUUAAGUCUGAUGUGAAAGCCCCCGGCUCAACCGGGGAGGGUCAUUGGAAACUGGGAGACUUGACUGCAGAAGAGGAGAGUGGAAUUCCAUGUGUAGCGGUGAAAUGCGUAGAUAUAUGGAGGAACACCAGUGGCGAAGGCGGCUCUCUGGUCUGUAACUGACGCUGAGGCUCGAAAGUGUGGGGAGCAAACAGG
rnacentral:rRNA from 1 species